CCAAGAGAGCAGGUCGGGAGACGGCAGCCGACGAGUUCCAGUUUUUUCCAGACAAGGCAGGGAGACUGGCAAGACCAAGUGCCUUCUGUAGCGCUCUCAUCUUCGGCUUCAGGCGAGCCCAUCUUCUCAGUGUCUGCGAAAAGAGCAAAGGAGCGUGGCGCACUGGCGGGUGCGACCAGUUGGUUCCCAGACGAUCCCACGCGCGACCGGGAGAUUCCUUUGCAUCCUUGGGCCACGCCUCUCUCUCUCACACACAAUCUCCCCCCUCCCCUCCCCCAAUUAUUCAUUCAUUCCACUCCUUCCCCCGGCAAACGGCAGCCUUUCAGAUAAAGGAUCCUGAGGCAGGCGCGCACCUGUCUCCACAGAAGACCCAGACUGUCUGCCUUUUACUCCAGCGAGGAGGAGGAAGAGGAAGAGGAGGAGGAAGAGGAAGAGGAGGAGGAGAAAAGCGAGCGAGCGCGCCCCUGCCGUGAGUCCGACUAUGAGACCCCAAAGCCGCAAGCUGACGUCUGAGACCGUCUCCUUCUUACCCCGGCUGGUCUUCCAGAUCUUCUCCUUCAGCAUCGUCUAUCUGUUCCAGCGACAAUCGCCCUGCCCCCAAACGGUGGGCUCUUCUUCUCCCUCUUCCCCUCCAAAAGCAAUCUCCCUUCCGAAACAGUAACAGAAAGGGGCUGGCUGCAUUAAGAGACCUCCCCCCCCCGCGACCCCCCCCAGCCAAAUCGCAACUGACCCUAAAGAAAGCUGGAUUUCGCGAACUUCGCCGCCUCCUCCUGCCCCGUCUCCCCGCAGCCACGCUGGUGGCUGCAAAGCAAAGGCUGUGCGCGCUUUGUAUGAUCCUCGUGGCGACUCCUGGAACGAUCUGCCUCAAGAUUGCUACUGAUCAUACUUGAAGGCUUUGCUCGAAGGAAGCAGCAGCCUGCAGAAGUGUGUGUGUGUGUGUGUGUGUGUGUGUGUUCGUGUGUGCCUGUGCGCGUGCCUGGUGAAAAUUUGCAUCAUUUGGGGGUGGGGGAGAGCCGCCGUGGCGCUUGCAAGCUGGUCAGUUUCCUUCCCCACUUACCGGAAGUUCUUCCUCCGUUCCAAAGAGGCAGCGCCCCAAAAAGAA
rnacentral:lncRNA from 1 species